UACAGAGGGUGCGAGCGUUGUCCGGAAUCACUGGGCGUAAAGGGCGCGUAGGUGGUGCUUAAGCGUGCGGUGAAAGCUCGGAGCUCAACUCCGAGUCGGCCGUGCGAACUGGGCUCACUGGAGCAUAGUAGAGGCAGGUGGAAUUCCGGGUGUAGCGGUGGAAUGCGUAGAGAUCCGGAAGAACACCGGUGGCGAAGGCGGCCUGCUGGCUAUGGCUGACACUGAGCGCGACGAGCGUGGGGAGCAAACAGG
rnacentral:rRNA from 1 species